CGCUUGUUCUUGAUAUUUGAAACUGCAUGCAUAUAUACGUAUACGUUUAUGAUUGUGAUGAGUUCUUGCGACUGACAAAAACUAAAUUCCUUCAUGGUUAUAUCUUGCCAUACUUUUAUAUUGGUUUGUAAGGUGAUUACUCAAAAUCAUUAUUUGAAAAUCCUGUUUGUGAGAUGUAGAUUCAUUUCAAUACAGAAAUUUCGUCUAUGAAUUAAGUUCCACAAGUGUAUAACACGGAGAAGCUCUGAGGGUCCAUUACUCCCAUUUUGUUUGGGUGUGAACCAUCGAUGUUUACAGCAAUAUCAAAGAAUAAGAUGAUGAUGGUAGAAAGAUCUAUGGGCGUUAUGUGGCAAAUAGUACAUGCAUAUCGGACCAUGAGUUGUCAAUUUGUAUGAAAAGAUUUCCGAUACAACCAUAUUAUUGAGAAGCAAGGUUUAAAUGCUAUACUCUCGUACUAGUAUUACAGGGUUUUUGUCUUGUGGCGUUCACCUUAGACACACAUCUUUUUAACGAUGUUUAAAAAAACAACAGAACCAAUUUAAUGUCAUAUUUCCAUAUUUUUUUUUAAAUGUAACUAAAAGUCUUUUAUCUGACAAGAAUACCCCUAUUUAGCGGACAAGUAAUUUAUUCUUUUUUCUGUUAUUGAAUACCAAGAGAGAAAAUAAAUCCCGAAAUUAAUUUGAAACUUUGAUACUCAAAAGUUUGCCAGCAAAAUAUUCACAUCCCUUGGGGAUAAUUAGUGUUCGUCCAGUGGCAUAUAUUACAAUUGUGAUGACGAAUUCCUUCCUUUGUUCGAGAAGAAUCUUAUUGAAAUAUAAAUCUGUGAUUUUACUAUUUCCCGUGACAACUUCAAUGAACCAAAGCAAAAGUUAUACAUCGACCUGUAUUUAAAUCAAAUUGGUUCUCUUCUUCUUCUGGUAUACAAUAGUCUAUCGACAUUCGAUGAUUACCUACUGUUGGCAUACGUGGACUAGUCUAUUUACAAAACUUUUACCCCAAUUUAUUCAAAAUAUAUGUUUUUUUUUCUUAUGUUUAAUGUAUACAUGUAUAUAUUUUAAAUUGCGCUUUAGUUCCAUAACUUUCAACCCAGUCGUAUAAACGAAUCAUCGGCAAGUGCGUACAUUUUAUAAAUCAAUAUUUCUGGUAUGUUCCAAUCUGUCCUUCACCAUUGACAAUGAGUAUAUAUUACAUUUUCCCAAAUUCACCCUUGGAAAAAAUAUUUAAAUAGAUUUUAAUUCCAUCAAAUCUUAUUUUUUGGGUAUUAUUUAUAUUUUUAUGAAUAAUAUUCUUUACACCAGAAAUGUUAUUUAUAAACAAGCGUAUGAGUUUAGUAAUGACAAGUAAGACAGAGUUGUAUAUUAUACAUCUGAUAGUUCAAAAUGGAAAGUUAUAAGUUAUCAGCCGUGUACACUGAUCAAUACAUGCAGAAGUGAAACGAUGCAUGAACUUGCAAGCCUGACAGGAAAUCGCUUGAAUACCUGGACGUGUCACCUCAUACCCCUCCCAAUACCUUUGAAAGUAAUACCUGUAGCCAUGCUGGUGAUCAGAUGAGGGAAGAUUAAAAGUUAAAAAAAGUUUAUUACUUUAAAGAAUUAUGAACAAAUUAGAUUUUCGAAAACAAUUUUCACGGAUCACUUAUUUAUGAUUUCAACUUUGACUUUUUACCUAAUUCCAAUAUCAACAGUUUAAAAACAAAAGACCGUGGUAAUUUAAAAAAAAUAAGAAUAUUUUCCGUAUCAACUUGAAGUUAGUAAGUCGGAUAAAACAACCGUACGAUUGCCAAGAUAUCGACAUGCAAUUACGAC
rnacentral:lncRNA from 1 species